CAGGAAGGAUACACACCGACUUUAGGAUAGCAGUGACCUCUGGUGAGAGAGGGAAACCAGAAGAUUCUGUAAUUGUAGUAAUACACGUCUUUUAAAAAGGAAUUGAAUGUGGUAAAAUGCUGAUAUUUGUUAAAACUGGGUGGUGAUAACUUAUUUUUCAUAUUGUUCUCUGUACUGUAAAGUAUACUUGAAACAUUCAUGAUUUUUAAAUAAUUAAAUAAGGAAAUCUAAAAUUAAUCAGCGGGAACAAUGAAUGUGCUCUGAUAAGGAUAGAAAUCCGGAGUUGGAGGUUAUGGAUGUCAGUUUCAGUUUUACAUUAGUGUCAGAAUCUAUUUCUAUAUUUUGUUAUUGUUUCACAGCAUCGAGUAAUUCUUGAUUCACAGGAACACAGUCCUUGCAAACAAGCUAUGAAGCUAGGAGCCCAGAGCUGACCUCAGCUGUCUCUCUCACCACGCAGAGAAGCCUGCUCACAGUGAGAGAGUACACAGUGAUUCUCAGAGAGAGGUCACCUCUGGCUGGUCAGCAUGUCCGAUGGAUGCAGGAGAGAGUGAUAUUUUCGGUUCAUGAUAAGGUGGACCCCACUGAGGAAACGUGACAAACUCUCGUCACCUUUCUCUCACCCACACUCUGAAGUGCUGACUUCCAAUCGUUUCCG
rnacentral:lncRNA from 1 species